AUAUAACUGUAAGAAUAGGGAAGUUGGGUGAAAUACCCACGCGGUACCGCCGCUGUAUUAGUAUCAGAGCUAUCAUAUAUGCCACUGUGGUUACACACGGGAAGGCAUGAUAUGCUUGAUGACGCUUAAGCCAGAAGACCUGCCUAAUAAUCA
rnacentral:ncRNA from 1 species